rnacentral:tRNA from 1 species
CGCGGGUGGGCUAGUGUUCAUCCGAGCCUCAUAAGCUUGGACUGCCAGGUGCGAUUCCUGGACCCGCCAC